CUUGACCCCUUUGCUCAUCACUCUUCCUUCUCUGCACCUGGAUUCCAGUUUAGUUCAGUUUUAGGUGUGGGUAUCUGUUUCUAUUUAAGUUUGACUUCUAAAAUGUAUGUUUAUACCUAUAUACUUGGAAUUAUUUCAGCUUUAGUCAGAGAAUCUUCCUUUUGUAGUUGGUACCAGCCAUUGGAGAUAUAUAUUACUAGUCAGAGUACUGAGAAUCAAGGUUUGUGGGUUAUGCUAUAAAUGGAACACCUGCAUUAGCUUGCCUUUGAAGGUUCAUGGAACAUUGUGGAAGAAGACUCAAGGCAGAGGAUUUGGAGCAAUUCUCUGAAAUGCUGCCUUCUGAACAUGACAUGAUUAUGGUAUUCAUGACUUCACAGAUGCAGUGGCACUUGCACAAGACCUACACAAGAACAAGUCAGCCAAAAUUCUGAUGUAAAUGUUGUAGAUGAUCUUCAGGGCUCACUACUCAUUGAGGAAAUUUUAGCAGGGCCUAAUUUCUGGGGAAGCAGUGAUCACUUAUUUUUGGAGUAUAUCACCCCCAGUAGAUUCCCAUGCUUCAGUGGAUAGCUCCAUACCCAAGUCCCUAUGAAUGGUACAGGCUGAACUUUGUUAUAAAAGAAAAGGCCAUGAAGUUUGCAGAGGAAUGUGUCAGAGAAAAUGGGAGAAGUUGGAGGUGGUAAAUGGGUUAGACAUAUUUCUUUGCACAACUGUAUGACAUUCUCAAGAAUAAAGAAAAACUUUUUAAAAAUUAUUUAAAUUAUCCCAUAUAUUCAUCUAUAUAUUGCCAUGUGGUCAUGGCAUUACCUCAUUUUCUACAUGUCUUGUUUCCUUGGUGACUACUGGCAUCAUCCAGCAACUCCACCUUCUUUCUCCCUGCAUCUCUGCUUGGAUUUUCCACCUAGCUAUAUUCUGCCCUGCCAUAGGCUAAAAUAGCUUGCUUUAUUCAUCAACCAACAAAGGCAACACAUAUUUGCAGUGCACAGAAGGGCAUCCUACAUCAAUGAUGAACAUAUUACUUAUCCUACCCAAUAUUAUUAUUUCUUUUUUUAAAUCAUUUUUUAUUUAAAUUAAAAACAAUCAUAUUUAAAUGGCUAUAUAUUCUGUAAGUUCUAUUCUUCUAGAAAACUGUAAUACAGAUGUGUUAAAGAUGUUUGGGUAAAAAGAAAAAAGAAUUAUUUUAAAAUAAUCCAUCUAAGCAAAUAAUAUUAAAAUAAAGUUCAAGAGAGCCAUUCCUUCGGGCAGAUUUGAUGCUACAGUGAACAGUGUUUUAAUAACUCUUUGAAAAUUACUGAUCUCAUUUGAGCUUCAGCACACAUACUACCUUAAUUUCAUUUUAUUUUAUUUGAUUUAGAUAUUUUGGAACAGUUAUUUGGGUGUUAUUUGCAUGUUUCUUUAGAUUAUUUCUAUCAUACAUUAUAAGUAUUUGGAAAGAUUAUUAUUGUUUUAUGUAAGACAAAUAAAGUAAGCCAUAUAUUUUUACUUUUCUAACAUAUGAAUAACCACUUUUUAUAUAUCUGUAACACAAUAGAAAUUAUGGAAAUAUAAUAAUAAUAUAAAAUAUCACAGGAGAUCCAUGGACAUGGACAAUUUUCUUACUGUGACCAUCUGAAAAAAAGUAAUACAAUCUUUUGCAGAAAAAUAUGUUCCUAAACAUUGAAACCAGAAUGAGUGAAUGCUCUCUCGCUCAUAUAUAUAUCGUUUCUGGGAUAAUAUAAAACUAUGCAGAACUAUGUAGGCAACCUGCUAUGGAAGGCAGAUGUUGGUCUUUUUUACCACCCACUAGAAAUUAAAAGCCAGUUUAUAUGCUUUUACACAGAUGCUAUUUGUGGAAUUAAGACUUUGUAGGGGAAAGACCCUAGUGAAUAAAUAACAUGAUGUUGGCUUUUCAGCAUUUUAAGUUUUGGACACUUCAUAAUGUUCCACUAUGAGAUGAGUAUGAAAAAAAUAGACAGUUGCAGUAGCAUUGGAAGAAAUAAAACUACAUCUCCAAAGCUGUCUAAACAGUACUGAAUAAAGCAAAUGUUGGAUAAAGGCAAAUGUGCAUUGCUAACAUUGCCAGAACUGCAUUCUAUGAACAAAGCCAGAAACCACAGUAUGUAGUAGAAACAAGAUUUGAUGAUUUCAAGAAAGCUGGCUUAUAAUUCCUUUCAUUUUUCUUUCUAAAUUUCAAGUAACAAAUUUGACCCAUGAAGGCAUGGGGAAUGAAUCACAAUUUGUGCCAAACUGUGGCUGAGUUCCAAAAGGCUUAGGCAUAUGACAGAAGUGGUGGUGACAAGGACUGACUCUUGGGAAACUGGGCACCAUUCCCUUGUAGGAGUGUUUAGUAUACUGCAUGUGGGAACAAUCAGAAGCAGACAAGGCAGACCCAGACCUCAAGGGGAAGUAGCAGUAAAAUUGGGUCAAACUGGAAAUUUUUGCCAAGAGCUUGGUUGAAAACAUGGCAUUGAUGGAAAUUCUUUCUCUGAGAGAACAAGCAGGAGAUUGGGAAAAUAGGUGGAUGAGCUCCAGUUUGGGGUACAGAAAAUUGUGAUGGAGUACCUGGAAGUAAUUACAAGCUCUGUUUUUUUUGCCAAGAAAGUAGACUGGGAAGAUUGUUUGAGCUUGUUUUCACAUUGUGUUAAGUGUCUUAUAAACAUAUGUAUGCUGUUGCGUGUUUAGAGGAUGGAGAAAUAAUUAGUUUAUUGACUUGUUCAACAUUUGUUUAGUGGUUUUUCAUGUCAGUCAGCAAUUAAAAUAUUAAGAGCUUACUCUGAACAUUGCACUGUGACAAUAAAAGAUGUUUUUAAGUGGAAUUUGAUAUGGCUCCUGCAUACAAAGACUUAAGCACUAAUUAAAGCCACAGGAUAGCACGCAUAUACUCCAAGCCUGUUGAAUCUAAGAGUCAGGAGCAGAGUACAAACAACAAGUGCUACAGAAUUUCUGAGAGUAUAAAAUGAGCAAAAGUAUUAAAUCAGAGAGAAGAUUAAAGAACAAAUACAGAUAACAGACUGACAAUAUAUGAACAAAAAGGAUAAAUUAGAUCAAGAACAUUGUGGAAAUGGGAAUAGAUAUAAAUAGGGUGUGGGAUUUAAUACACAGAGAAAAUGAUUCAAUGAUAUUUCUUAAUAUGAUAUAUAAAUUUCUGAAAAUUAAAAUUGGCGACAUGGGAAGGCUUUGAGCAUUUAAAUUGUAGUAUGACAACAUUAUAGGAAGAGUUUUAUGAUACAGCAUACAAUGAAGCAAGGAAGUAAAUGGGAGAGUUGGAGACAGACAAAUGUACUUGGUGAUAGUUUAGUGGUUGAAGCAUGUGAGCCAUGAUCUAAACCACAGCCAUAAUAGAAGAGUUAAAAUGAACAUAAGACACAUUGUGGAUAUAAUUACAACUUUAUCCUGGACAUAGAGCAUUGUAUUUGGAACAAAACAAUCUGUGAGAAGUCUCAAAUAUUUUUUUCUGUAAAAUUACAUUGUUUUGCCAUUAUACUGCAUUUGGAUUGAGAAAACUGAGGAAAAAGAAUGUUAUAUAAAAAUGAUUGCUAAAUGCUGAGCAAUUUAAGGAUUGAAUGUGUCAUUAAACAAUAUAGGCUUCACUAGGUAAUUGUAUAGAAAAAUUGUAAGUUACUAUUUGUGUAAAAGAAUAAUAAUUUUGUGUGUUAUUAUUUAUUAAAUAAGGAAUAUAUAACAUUCUUACAAAUCAAUAGAGUACAAUUCCUGUGAUAGUAAAAAUGAGUGAUGUAACCAAAACCCAGACAGACAAAUGCCACAUGCUCUCUCAUUUGUGUAUUCUAGCUCUGAAUCUUGAGAUGGAAUAUGCAACCUGAAGUAACUGAAAACGUCAGGAAUGAAAAUGGAAAAUGGAUACAUAGGAGAGAAAGAGCUCUAGAGAGAGUGGCAGUAGGAUACAGGUGUUAUAAAGGAGAAAUUGGGACAAACGAGGGUGAGAUUUUAGCUGGAGGGGGGAGUGUUGGUAAUAUAAUGGGAGAGCAAGGAAGGAGAAAGUAUAAGCACUAGGGAUAUUUGAAGCCAGUUACCUCAACUCAUGCAUCUAUCUUUUCUCUGCCAUAAUCAACUAUAUCCUCAGAACCCUAAUUUUCCUCAUUCUUAAUUUUAUCCUUAUUGUUACCUUUCCCCGUAUGUUUACCUAUGGAAGUUAAACUGUCUGUGCUGAUAUUAAUGUUUAAUCUUCCACACCAAACAAAAAAAAAUCCUAACAGUAAUCUUUGAACUCUAAGGAAAGAAGAUGGGGACCCACUUCAUCGAUCCCAACUGAUUCAACUUGAUGCCUCUGAACCACCCUAAAAUCAGUCUGGGACUAAGGAUUGAGACAACUCCAGACUAGGGUAUUGACCCCGAGGAAGACUUGGAAGAACUUGAAGAUAGCUGGCUUGAGACCCUCUAAUGUCUGUCUCCUCAACACUGGAAUUACAGGAACAUACUGCUGUGACUGUUCUCAUAUGAGUGCUACAGCUCAUACUCAAGACUUCAUGUUUGUGUACUGAGCUUUCUCUGCAUCCCCAGAUAUUUUAUGCAAGAGAGAGCCUGGACAGUGUCAAAUGAAACAAGCAAUUAGUUGCUUUCUAACCGUGAGCAGUUCAAACUGUAACAUCAUGCCAGACGUGAUUAAGAAUGAUACAGCACAUCAUCAUUGUCAACACUAUUCAGCCAAUGUAAACCUUAGUUAGAAAUGUACUUGUCAGAGAAAAAUGCGCCUUUGAUUUCUAUUGCACUUUCCCAGUAAUUGCUGUCAUCAGUGGCAGGUUAUUAUUACAGUUGAAUAGAGUUUCAGUAAUUACUUUUCCACAGAUUCUAACAGCUUUUAGAUUGAAGGAUAUUCUGACAGUUUGAAUACUCUUGACAACAAUUACCUUUUUCCUGGUUAACACUGAUUCAGGAAAAUUAAAAAUUAAAUCUGUUCAGAGGAAACACUUAUGUAUGUCACUAGUAAGUGCGUUGAUAUAAAAAAUGUGUAAAUUGCAGAAUGACUUAGAUUUUUUUAAAGUUCUCUUUCACUCAAGUAUUUUUGAAAAUCAGCAUUUUGGGAGAUACAGACUAUGUUGGUUAGUUUAAAAGUAAAUGAUGUGGAAAAGCUGAAACCAAUCCUCAAUCCACUAACAGAAACCACUGUACUGUUCUGAGGAAAAAAAGAUGUACAUGAGAAGAAUAGGGCAAUAUUAUAUUUGCAUAUCUAUGUCUACCUAUACAUAUAUCUAUAUACCUUAGAUAAAUGAAGGCCAAAAUACAGUCACAUUUCUACAUCUCUCAGAGAGUAAAUAUAUGCUUUUGCAAGUUUGAAUUUUUAUGACAAUAAAAUGUCUACUUUUAGGAAA